CUUUUCUUGUUUAUAUUAUUUGAAGUAUAACCUGCCCACUGAGUAAUAUUUAAAGGGCCGCGGUAUUUUGACCGUGCAAAGGUAGCAUAAUCAUUAGUUUUUUAAUUGGAGGCUGGAAUGAAUGGUUGGACGAGGAAUAUACUGUUUCUUUUUAAUAAAGUUUGAAUUUAAGAUUUAAGUAAAAAUGCUUAAAUUUUUUUAUGGGACGAGAAGACCCUAUAGAGUUUAAUAAAUUUUAUUAUUAUUUUGUUUGUUAAUUAAAUUAAUUGUAAAAUAUUAUUUUAUUGGGGUGAUAGGAAUGAUUUAAUUAACUCUUUUUUUAUUUAUAUAUUUAUAUAUAAUUAUAUGAUCCAUUUUUAGUGAUUAUAAGACUAAAUUACCUUAGGGAUAACAGCGUAAUCCUUUUUGAGAGUUCUUAUCAAUAAGAGGGUUUGCGA
rnacentral:rRNA from 1 species